rnacentral:piRNA from 1 species
UACCUUCCCUGAUACAGUGAAU